UACGAAGGGUGCAAGCGUUACUCGGAAUUACUGGGCGUAAAGCGUGCGUAGGUGGUGAGUUAAGUCUGUCGUGAAAGCCCCGGGCUCAACCUGGGAAUGGCGAUGGAUACUGGCUCGCUAGAGUGCGGUAGAGGAGAGUGGAAUUCCCGGUGUAGCAGUGAAAUGCGUAGAGAUCGGGAGGAAGGCCGGUGGCGAAGGCGGCGCUCUGGAACGUUUCUGACACUGAGGCUCGAAAGCGUGGGGAGCAAACAGG
rnacentral:rRNA from 1 species